AAGGAGUUAGGUUAAUGAAAACCAGUUGCCUUCAAAGCUACAUAUAUCGGUUCAAGUCCGAUACUUCUUG
rnacentral:tRNA from 1 species